CGGACGGGUGAGUAACACGUGGGUAACCUGCCCCCAUUUGGGGGAUGACAUUUGGAAACAGAUGCUAAUACCGCAUAGAUCCAAGAACCGCAUGGUUCUUGGCUGAAAGAUGGCGUAAGCUAUCGCUUUUGGAUGGACCCGCGGCGUAUUAGCUAGUUGGUGAGGUGAUGGCUCACCAAGGCGAUGAUACGUAGCCGAACUGAGAGGUUGAUCGGCCACAUUGGGACUGAGACACGGCCCAAACUCCUACGGGAGGCAGCAGUAGGGAAUCUUCCACAAUGGACGCAAGUCUGAUGGAGCAACGCCGCGUGAGUGAAGAAGGCUUUCGGGUCGUAAAACUCUGUUGUUGGAGAAGAAUGGUCGGCAGAGUAACUGUUGUCGGCGUGACGGUAUCCAACCAGAAAGCCACGGCUAACUACGUGCCAGCAGCCGCGGUAAUACGUAGGUGGCAAGCGUUAUCCGGAUUUAUUGGGCGUAAAGCGAGCGCAGGCGGUUUUUUAAGUCUGAUGUGAAAGCCCUCGGCUUAACCGAGGAAGCGCAUCGGAAACUGGGAAACUUGAGUGCAGAAGAGGACAGUGGAACUCCAUGUGUAGCGGUGAAAUGCGUAGAUAUAUGGAAGAACACCAGUGGCGAAGGCGGCUGUCUGGUCUGUAACUGACGCUGAGGCUCGAAAGCAUGGGUAGCGAACAGGAUUAGAUACCCUGGUAGUCCAUGCCGUAAA
rnacentral:rRNA from 1 species